AGACCGACCUUGUGGUUGAAGAGGGGCCCAUGAGAUAUCAGCUAGUUGGUGAGGUAACGGCCCACCAAGGCUAAGACGUCUAGGCGAGUUGAGAGAUUGACCGCCAACACUGGGACUGAGACACUGCCCAGACUCCUACGGGAGGCUGCAGUCGAGAAUCUUUCGCAAUGGGCGAAAGCCUGACGAAGCGACGCCGUGUGAAUGAAGAAGGCCUUAGGGUCGUAAAGUUCUUUCGCUCGGGAACAAGAGAGAGUGGCUAAUAACCACUUGAUUUGAGUGUACCGGGUAAAGAAGCACCGGCUAACUCCGUGCCAGCAGCUGCGGUAAUACGGAGGGUGCAAGCAUUAAUCGGAUUUAUUGGGCGUAAAGGGGGCGUAGGCGGAGAUGAAAGCCAGACGUGAAAGCCCGGGGCUCAACCUCGGAACA
rnacentral:rRNA from 1 species